rnacentral:rRNA from 1 species
ACACUCCUGCGGGAGGCAGCAGUGGGGAAUUUUGGACAAUGGGCGAAAGCCUGAUCCAGCAAUGCCGCGUGUGUGAAGAAGGCCUUCGGGUUGUAAAGCACUUUUGUCCGGAAAGAAAUCCUUGGCUCUAAUACAGUCGGGGGAUGACGGUACCGGAAGAAUAAGCACCGGCUAACUACGUGCCAGCAGCCGCGGUAAUACGUAGGGUGCGAGCGUUAAUCGGAAUUACUGGGCGUAAAGCGUGCGCAGGCGGUUUGCUAAGACCGAUGUGAAAUCCCCGGGCUCAACCUGGGAACUGCAUUGGUGACUGGCAGGCUAGAGUAUGGCAGAGGGGGGUAGAAUUCCACGUGUAGCAGUGAAAUGCGUAGAGAUGUGGAGGAAUACCGAUGGCGAAGGCAGCCCCCUGGGCCAAUACUGACGCUCAUGCACGAAAGCGUGGGGAGCAAACAGGAUUAGAUACCCCUGUAGUCCC